GCCCCCAUUGUCUAAUGGUUAUGACGUCAGACUUCUAUCAACAAGUGAGAGACUCUGCGAAAUCUGGAGGUUGCGGGUUCGAGUCCCGCUGGGGGUU